rnacentral:rRNA from 1 species
GGGCGUAAAGAGCUCGUAGGUGGUUUGUCGCGUUGUUCGUGAAAUCUCACGGCUUAACUGUGAGCGUGCGGGCGAUACGGGCAGACUUGAGUACUGCAGGGGAGACUGGAAUUCCUGGUGUAGCGGUGGAAUGCGCAGAUAUCAGGAGGAACACCGGUGGCGAAGGCGGGUCUCUGGGCAGUAACUGACGCUGAGGAGCGAAAGCGUGGGGAGCGAACAGGAUUAGAUACCCUGGUAGUCCACGCCGUAAACGGUGGGUACUAGGUGUGGGUUUCCUUCCUUGGGAUCCGUGCCGUAGCUAACGCAUUAAGUACCCCGCCUGGGGAGUACGGCCGCAAGGCUAAAACUCAAAGAAAUUGACGGGGGCCCGCACAAGCGGCGGAGCAUGUGGAUUAAUUCGAUGCAACGCGAAGAACCUUACCUGGGUUUGACAUGCACAGGACGCCGGCAGAGAUGUCGGUUCCCUUGUGGCCUGUGUGCAGGUGGUGCAUGGCUGUCGUCAGCUCGUGUCGUGAGAUGUUGGGUUAAGUCCCGCAACGAGCGCAACCCUUGUCUCAUGUUGCCAGCGGGUAAUGCCGGGGACUCGUGAGAGACUGCCGGGGUCAACUCGGAGGAAGGUGGGGAUGACGUCAAGUCAUCACGCCCCUUAUGUCCAGGGCUUCACACAUGCUACAAUGGCCGGUACAAAGGGCUGCGAUGCCGCGAGGUUAAGCGAAUCCUUUUAAAGCCGGUCUCAGUUCGGAUCGGGGUCUGCAACUCGACCCCGUGAAGUCGGAGUCGCUAGUAAUCGC